GAUGAACGCUGGCGGUAUGCCUAACACAUGCAAGUCGUACGAGAGUUUUUAACUCUAGUGGCGGACGGGUGAGUAACACGUGAGAAUUUGCCUUUAGGAGGGGGAUAACAAUUGGAAACGAAUGCUAAUACCCCAUAUGCUUUCGAGUGAAAUGGAUUUUAUCCGCCUAGAGAGAAGCUCGCGGCUGAUUAGCUUGUUGGUAAGGUAAGAGCUUACCAAGGCGACGAUCAGUAUCUGGUUUGAGAGGACGAUCAGACACACUGGAACUGAGACACGGUCCAGACUCCUACGGGAGGCAGCAGUGGGGAAUUUUCCGCAAUGGGCGAAAGCCUGACGGAGCAAUACCGCGUGAGGGAAGAAUGCCUAUGGGUUGUAAACCUCUUUUUCAGGGUAGGAAUAAAAAUGACGUGUACCUGAAGAAUAAGCAUCGGCUAACUCCGUAG
rnacentral:rRNA from 1 species